rnacentral:rRNA from 1 species
CGCCAGGGAACUACAAGCCCACCCUUAAAACCCAAAGGACUUGACGGUGCCCCACAUCCCCCUAGAGGAGCCUGUCCUAUAAUCGAUGAUCCACGUUAAACCUCACCUCUUCUUGCCCUCCCGCCUGUAUACCUCCGUCGUCAGCUCACCGCAUGAGCGAUUAAUAGUGAGCAUAAUGGCCCCACCAAAACGUCAGGUCAAGGUGCAGCUUAUGAAGUGGGAAGAGAUGGGCUACAUUUUCUAAUCUAGAAAAAACGAAAGACCUAGUGAAACCCUGUCAGAAGGCGGAUUUAGCAGUAAAGAGAGAUCAGAACACUCUCUUUAACACGGCCCAGGGGCAUGUACACACCGCCCGUCGCCCUCUUCGCUAUUACACACUAGUAAAUAACUAACUUUUACCAUUAAGAAGAGGUAAGUCGUAACAUGGUAAGUAUACCGGAAGGUGUGCUUGGAA